rnacentral:rRNA from 1 species
GAUGAACGCUGGCGGCGUGCCUAAUACAUGCAAGUCGAGCGAACAGACGAGGAGCUUGCUCCUCUGACGUUAGCGGCGGACGGGUGAGUAACACGUGGAUCACCUACCUAUAAGACUGGGAUAACUUCGGGAAACCGGAGCUAAUACCGGAUAAUAUAUUGAACCGCAUGGUUCAAUAGUGAAAGACGGUUUUGCUGUCACUUAUAGAUGGAUCCGCGCCGCAUUAGCUAGUUGGUAAGGUAACGGCUUACCAAGGCGACGAUGCGUAGCCGACCUGAGAGGGUGAUCGGCCACACUGGAACUGAGACACGGUCCAGACUCCUGCGGGAGGCAGCAGUAGGGAAUCUUACGCAAUGGGCGAAAGCCUGACGGAGCAACGCCGCGUGAGUGAUGAAGGUCUUCGGAUCGUAAAACUCUGUUAUUAGGGAAGAACAAAUGUGUAAGUAACUAUGCACGUCUUGACGGUACCUAAUCAGAAAGCCACGGCUAACUACGUG